rnacentral:rRNA from 1 species
GACGAACGCUGGCGGCGUGCCUAACACAUGCAAGUCGAACGGAACUGUUUUGAAAGAUUUCUUCGGAAUGAAUUUGAUUUAGUUUAGUGGCGGACGGGUGAGUAACGCGUGAGUAACCUGCCUUCAAGAGGGGAAUAACAUUCUGAAAAGAAUGCUAAUACCGCAUGACAUAUCGGAACCACAUGGUUUUGAUAUCAAAGAUUUUAUCGCUUGAAGAUGGACUCGCGUCCGAUUAGUUAGUUGGUGAGGUAACGGCCCACCAAGACCGCGAUCGGUAGCCGGACUGGGAGGUUGAACGGCCACAUUGGGACUGAGGCACGGCCCAGACUCCUACGGGAGGCAGCAGUGGGGGAUAUUGCGCAAUGGGGGCAACCCUGACGCAGCAACGCCGCGUGAAGGAUGAAGGUUUUCGGAUUGUAAACUUCUUUUAUUAAGGACGAAAAAUGACGGUACUUAAUGAAUAAGCUCCGGCUAACUACGUG